rnacentral:rRNA from 1 species
AACGAACGCUGGCGGCAGGCCUAACACAUGCAAGUCGAGCGAGGACUUCGGUCCUAGCGGCGGACGGGUGAGUAACGCGUGGGAACGUGCCCUUUGCUUCGGAAUAGCCCUGGGAAACUGGGAGUAAUACCGGAUGAGCCCUUUGGGGGCAAGAUUGAUCGGCGAAGGAUCGGCCCGCGUUGGAUUAGGUAGUUGGUGUGGUAAUGGCCUACCACGGAGACGAUCCAUAGCUGGUUUGAGAGGAUGAUCAGCCACACUGGGACUGAGACACGGCCCAGACUCCUACGGGAGGCAGGAGUGGGGAAUCUAAGACAAUGGGGGAAACCCUGAUCGAGCCAGGGCGGGUGAGCGAUGAAGGCCUUAGGGUUGUAAAGCUCUUUCAGCUGGGAAGAUAAUGACGGUACCAGCAGAAGAAGCCCCGGCUAACUCCGUG